rnacentral:rRNA from 1 species
AACGUAGGUGGCGAGCGUUAUCCGGAUUUACUGGGCGUAAAGCGCUUGUAGGUGGUUUUGUAAGUUGGGCGUGAAAUCCCCGGGCUUAACCUGGGAAUGGCCUUUGUGACUGCACGGCUAGAGUGUGUCAGAGGGGGGUAGAAUUCCACGUGUAGCAGUGAAAUGCGUAGAGAUGUGGAGGAAUACCGAUGGCGAAGGCAGCCCCCUGGGAUAACACUGACGCUCAGGCACGAAAGCGUGGGGAGCAAACAGG